AGGAUAAUAGUUAAUUAUAACAUUUAAUUUGCAUUUAAAAAGUAUUGCUAAGCAUUUUAUCUUA
rnacentral:tRNA from 1 species